rnacentral:rRNA from 1 species
AUAUUGCACAAUGGGGGAAACCCUGAUGCAGCCAUGCCGCGUGUAUGAAGAAGGCCUUCGGGUUGUAAAGUACUUUCAGUUGUGAGGAAGGCGUUGGAGUUAAUAGCUUCAGCGCUUGACGUUAGCAACAGAAGAAGCACCGGCUAACUCCGUGCCAGCAGCCGCGGUAAUACGGAGGGUGCGAGCGUUAAUCGGAAUUACUGGGCGUAAAGCGCAUGCAGGCGGUCUGUUAAGCAAGAUGUGAAAGCCCGGGGCUCAACCUCGGAACAGCAUUUUGAACUGGCAGACUAGAGUUUUGUAGAGGGGGGUAGAAUUUCAGGUGUAGCGGUGAAAUGCGUAGAGAUCUGAAGGAAUACCGGUGGCGAAGGCGGCCCCCUGGACAAAGACUGACGCUCAGAUGCGAAAGCGUGGGGAGCAAACAGG